rnacentral:misc_RNA from 1 species
AGAAGCCAGAAAAGAAACACACAAAAUUGAAGAAAUGGCAGCCAUUUCCAUAACCAAAAUCGUCAUGUUUAAUCUCUCAGGAACCGUCCCUAGCCCUCCUUCUCUCUUCCUUGGAUCUACCAGCAAAGUUUCUCGGGUCUGCUUCACUUCUGCUUCCAAAUAUAACGAGGGCCGAAAUGCAGCGGAGGAGAAUAGAGGUAGAGCAUCAGAUUUCACUAAUAUAGCCAAAGAAACUACCAAGGAAGGCGUUGAAAGAGCCAGAGAACGCGCGGAGCAGGCAAAAGAACAGUCUGACGAAAUGAAAGAAAAGGCCAAAGAACGAGUGGGGGAAAUGAAAGAAAAUGCCAAAGUGUAUGCAUAUGAAACCCAGGAAAGUGCCAAAGGCGUGGCUCAAUCUGCGGCGGAGAAGACCAAGGAAGGCGCGUAUAAAGCAGCAGAGACAACAGAGAAAACGAAAGAAAAAGCAAGAGAUUAUGCGCACGACUCCAAGAAGAAGGCGAAAGAAGGGAUAAAGAAAGUGGUGGAGACUGCACGUGAUGUGAAAGAGAAGGCCAAAGAUUAUUCUGGAACAGCAACUGACUAGGCAAGAGAUGGGACAAUUAAGGUGGUCGAAAUGGUGGGGAGUGUAGGAGAGAAGGCGGAGCAGACGGCGAAGAGAGCAUGGGAUGCUGCGAAGGGGACUACACAGAAGAUAAAGGAAACUGUGGUGGGGAAAGAGCACGAGAGUGAUGAUGACAAAAGGGAGAAGACAAUGGAUGAGGAUGUGGUGGAUUUGAGGAGGCCUGAGAGGGGAGGCGAGAGCAAUGAAAAUGCGAAGAAGAGAAGGGAUUAUUGAAGUAUAAGAGAAGUUGGUCACUGGUCCUUAGGUGGAGUUAGUUUCUUAACAAUGAAAAUAAAUCCAAUGGUAAUGGGGUUUUGGUUUAUGUUGUAAGAGAUCCAUAUGUCUUUCCUUAUUUUGUUGCUAACUAGGUCAAUCUAAUAUAAACUUAUUUGUUA